AAAAAAUCAAAUUUAAAAAUUAGUUAUAUAUAAUUUAUUAUACAAAAAUUUAUAUACAAAUAAAAAUGAUAAAUGUAACAAAUUUAAAUAUAUUAUCCGCGCGUAGCGCGGAGAAAGGAUCUAGUAGAUAUAAUUUAAUAUACUGCUUGGAUUGAAAACUAUAUAUGGAUCUAAAUAUCCUUCUAUCUAGAAAAAUAAAAUAAAAUAAAAUAUGAAACUAAUUAACUUCAAUAAUUUUAAAUUUGACAUUGCAUUACAAAGUAACACAGUUCUCGAUUUUAGUCCAUGUAAAUUCUACUAAAUUUCCAUUUUAGUAUUAUUUUGAAGGGAUAUUUACAUGCAGUCUUUAUACAUGUAAUCCUCGUUAUAUAUAAUCUAAUGUGUUUUUUGAUAAAUAUUUUACGUGUAGUGAGAGGAUAAAAGGGAGUCGUUAUCACCAUCAUAUGGAUAAGUCUUCGCAACAAACUAAAAGAGAACACAUAAGUGACUUGCCAUCAAAAGGUUGUUUAAUUUUUUCACUCUCAUCUUCAGUGUAUUAAUAACUUGUUACGUCCCCACUCUUUCUAAAGUUUCCUUUAAUCCGAUUUCUAAACUCGAAUAACAUAAAAUUAAGUAUAAAGAUUCACUUAAAAUGACUUUAAAUUUUGAUCGGUAUAACAACAUUAGCUUACUAAUUAAAAACUCGUUUUCUUUGGUUUGUUAAAAGAAAAAUAAACGUAGAGGGAAUUAUAUUAUUUCAUUCGAAGAAAACAUAGAAACAACUGAUUUUCUUGUGUAACAAAAUAGAAGAAAAGCACAUCGAUUUGCUUAACAUCUAAAGCUAGCGGUAGGUAUAUGCUUAAUAUACUGUGAUUGUCUCUACUAUCAUUUUUGUUUUGUAGUGUUUUGGAACAAAUUCAAGUAUAUUUUUCUGAUAGACUGUACCUAAUUGAUAUUUGAUACCAUAAAGCCAAAUGCCUUUAUAUUCAAGAUUUUUCUUCGAAAUACGUUUUAUUUUAUAUACGUUUCAAGAUGAUGUAUUUUUAGCUAAAACUUCAACAUAAUGUACUUAAAGCAAUUACGUGCGAAGUAAGGAUUGAAUAAAUUUAACCUUUCUUAAUCAUGCAAUAAAAAAUGCUUAUUGCCCAUGCUAUAUACAUUAGUAUAACAACACCUAGAUAAUUACUCCCUAUGUUUCUUAAAAAGUAUCAUUUUAACAUUUUUUUCUUGUUAUACAAAGAAUGUCAUUUUAGAAUUCUAAUGAUAAAUAUAUUUUUUCCACUUUAAUAUUAGAUGCAAAUUGCAUUGAUCUUAUAAAUAAUUUUAUUUAUCUCAAAUUUUAUUUGUUAAAUAAAUGUAACUAAUAAAAACAUAAAUGCAUUUCAAUUAUUUUUUUAAUAUAUGUAAAAAAAAUGUCAAAGUAACAAUUUAAAAAAAAAAGGUGAGGGAGUAAGAAACAUUUUGGGAAACAUUAUAUAAGAAUUAACCAAGUAGUCUUGGAUUAGUGGUAAAUGGGUUUCAACUGGAGCUUCCGCUCUGGGUUCGAUUCCUCUUGGCCACCCAUAAACGCCUUAAGUGGCAAGAAAACUCGGAUUUUUGUUGGUCUAUCAGUGAUUAGUCUUUGAGCAUAUAAAUCCUUUGAGAUCACACCAAUGUUAUAAAAAAAAAUUAUAUAAAAUUUUAAUAAUUAUAAAUAUUUUCUUAAACCACUAAAAAUACAUAGUAUGAGUUUUUAUAUAGUUCUUGGGAUUCGAAAUUAUAUUGUAGAAACGAAAGGUUGUUGUGAGCAUUCAAGAUCUGUAGUGGUCAUGUAUUUGUUUACUUCUUGUAUAAUUUCAUUGGUUAACAACUAUCUUUACUUGACUGAAGGUACUAUUAGAGUUUUAACUGAUUGUAGGUUUGGACUCUGUUAACUUUUGGAUCCCUUAACAGAGAGAAAACUUAGAUCAAAAGAAAAAAAAACAGGGAGAAAAACAUGUCUCUCUUAGUAUGUACGUAAAAGAUAACAAUAUAUGGUAAGAGAGCUUUAAUGUUUGAACAAUGUACGUGUUCAAAUAGUAAUAGUUUCUACUACAUUAAUGCACCAAUUUAAACAAAUACAUCAAAUUAAAGUCAAAAUUACUUCAACUCACAUUGGAUUUUAGAGAAAACGAGGAAAAGAUUUACAUAGAGACACUGGUUAUGACUUCAUGUUAAUAAAGUUAUGAAACGUUCGAGCUUCUCACUCUUUAUAACUACAAUAUUUUCCUUCUCACUUGAUUGCCAUACAUCACUAUCGAGUAGACGAACACAUACAGACAAAAUGGGUUUUUCUGAGUGUAUAAAAAGAAUCGUUCUAGAUUUCUUGAUGAGAUCUUCAAUAGUAAACCGUUUUCGACUGUGCUAAUACUUUUUUUUUUGAAUGAACUGUGCUAAUACUUCAUAUGUGCGUUAAUUCUACAGAAAUGAGAAACAAGAUCAUGAAACGUGUCAAAUAAAACGCAAACGGUACGUGGGUUUUAGUAUGCGGAGGAAUAUUCGAUUAGAAAAGAACAAUGAAACCUAAUUCUUGUCUAUUCAUUUGUCUCCCCCUUAUUCUUAAAUGUCUUAUGUUUUUGCACUUGAUUUAUCCUUCACUCUCCCUCCAAAUAACAAAAUUUAUAUGUUCGUUAGCUAGGAAUGCACGUUCUUUUCAUAGAUCUCUAUGUUUUAUUGGUUGUUCUAUUCCGGUCUGGUUAUUUAGACCACCUCAAGUUUGAGUAAUAGAAUAGUCGUUUGUUGUCAAAAAGAAAAAAAAUUCAUAUAUAAGACAGUCGAAAAUACAUAGUUAAAUAGUUUAUUUUUAUGUAUAAUGUAUUCUAAUGAUUUCGUUAGUCGAGGUGAGAGAGUUUUCGGUAACCUUCUUUCCUUCAACUUAAAGCAAAACCUUAGGGUUCUUAAACUCUUAUAUAAAGAAUGUAUGAAAAAUAAUCAAUUGCAUAUAUCCAUCUUCCUUCUUUUAUGAUGAUGAUAAAUGACAUACUUAACUUAGUGGUAGAUUAGAGGCAAAAACAAAAACAAAACAUUCUUCCUUCUCUUUAGCACCAUUUCCAAUUUAUUUUACUUUUUUUUUUCUAUAAUACAGAUGGAGUUUGAUAGAUUCAAGGCGAAAACAAAAAACAUACAUGCUUCAUUUUUUCUAUGACCAUCUUCGACGUACUUUGUUAUUUUUUUCAUAAAUGAAAAAUCUUUAUAAUAACAAUAAAUUUUUCUCUAGUGUAUUCUCCUAUAAUAAUCUUGCCAUAAAUAUAGAGAUUGUUAUUUUUCCUCAAACCUCUCCAACUCAUUUUUAUAUUUUACCUUUAUAAGUAGCAUUUAAAAGCAAAAUUGCUUCAUCGCAAUUCUAGUUAUUCCUCUAAAAUAGAGAUUAUUUAUUCCUUUAUUUAUAGAGAAAAAAAUAUUCCUCUAUUUUAUGUUUUAUAUUUAGAUAUUUCUAUUUUAGGGAAAUACAUUAAAGUAAAUUUUAAAUCUAUUAUAGAGGGUCUGAUUGGUAAUGACUGUAGCUUUAAAAUUUUUGCUUUAGAAAAAAAUUUAUAGACUUUUUGAUGUGUUUUUAAAUUUUAUUGCUGUGGAAUUUUACGAAAAGCCCCAAAAAUUAUUGUGGAUAUUUGGCUCUACAGGACACUUGUACAGUUGUAUGUUAUUUCAAGAGUUAUGAAUUAAAGUUUGAUUGUUGUGAAUUUAAUGUUGUAGAAAUAAAUGGGAAUGUGGACUUCACCUACAACCACUACGGCACUACCAUUCAAACCCAUAAUUUUUAUAUUUUAGAGAAAAAUACAUUGGAGAUUUUUAAAUAUAGAAAAGUAAUAUCUUCUAUUUUAUAUGAAGAAAUAAGAAUAUAUUCGAGUGGAAUUACCUCUAAAUACUAUUACAGAAACAAAAACAAUAAAAGAUUAGAAAUACUUAAAAUACUACUAGAGAGACAAAAACUGUUUGAAAAUGAAAAUAUUUCAAAAUUAAAUAUGAAACUUGUAACAUAAAAUCAUUUGCAUGAUUAGUAGUAUGUAAAUUUUCAUAUAUUAUAGAAAACAAACUGUUCCAAAAUACUUGUGUAAAAUCAGAUUUUAAUUUCUUUAGCGAGGACUGCAUGGUCUUUCCACAAGGAAAUAUGUUUUAUCGAUUGUUCUAUUCCGGUCUGGUUAUCCAGACAACUUCAAAUUUGAAUAAUAUAAUAACAUUUCGUUGUAAAAAAAAACUUGUGUAAAAUGAAAAUAUUUAUAUGUUGGUACGAUUUAAUAAAUUCUCCGAAGUUUUUGUCAACUGUUGAAUUUUUAUAUAUAAUAAAUUUUAUCAAAGAUUUGUAAAAAAAAAACUAAAAACACAUACAAUAGCAUAUUUUUACAAUUGAUGAAAAAAUACACGUGCAAUAGCAUAUUUUUCUCUAAAAUGUUUGAUAUCUCUGACAAACCCAAUAAUUUUCUACCUAUUUUUGAAAAGCUUGAAUAUUUUGUAAAAUAACGAAGAAUUUGAUAUUUAAAUAUAAAACAAAUAUUAGAACUGCAACCGUAAAAUUUAUUUAUAUAUAUAAAACAAAUAUUUUGACUUGUUUUUGUACUUCAUCGCCCUGCGCCAAUGGAGGGAAAAGGGAGAUAAGGGAAGCACAUGGGUUUGAGCACGUGUCUACGUUCAACAGACUCGCAGGAUAGACCUCCUCUCCCAUUCGCACACGCGUUCUGAUCUUCUGUCCCCGCACUUUCUCCCGACCAAUCAUGUCGUAUUGUUUGCAAUAGCCGCCAUCUUUUUUUCUUAAUUUAAAAUGUUUUUAAGAGAAUUUUUAUGGUUCACAACCAUAAUCACAGUAGUUUUCUUCCUUUUUUAAGAAUUACAUUUUUAUUAUUUUACAUUUAAAGGAUGUAUUUAACUGGGAGUUUGGUGUGGUUUAACUUUUAUUACAUUUUAGACAUUUUUAGAUAAAUUAAAAUUUUAUUAAGAUUUAACUUAAAUUAUCAUAAAAUAUCAUCUAAAAUCAUGAAAUUUAUAUUUUAAAAUAAAUAAUUCCACUAAAUUUUAAAAAUCACUAGUAAAAUUUUAAAAUACAACAACAGUCGUUUCUAAAUAUUUUAUCAAAUAAUAAGUGCAAUAACAUUAGAUUUUAAUUAUAUUUUAAAAACAGUAAAUUUGUCAUUUUAUAUAAGUCACUUCAAACUUCUAAUGAAUACAUCCUCUUUAAAGUAUUGCCUGACUCUUUAAAAAGAGUUGCAGUUCAGCAUGAUUCUUCUUGGAAGCUACGAGUUAUUAAAAUAGCUGGUUUAUGAAAUUGAAUUCAAGAAAAUAAUCGGAAAAGACAUGAAGAUUACAUGAUUCAAAAAUUUAUAUGCGAGAUAACGUGUUCGUUAGUUAUACAUGCAAGAAGAAUGGCGCUACUCAGAAAAUAAACAUUUGAUCCCAUAUACAAAUACUUAUCAACAAAUAACUGUUAAUUUUGAUAUCUAAUUAUAUAAAAAUAUGUUUCUCUCCUUCUUAAGCAUGCCACGUCAUUAAGUCUUGAAAGGAGGAGAUGACACAUGUCCAUUCAUCAAACGGCAGCGUUUCACUAAUACUUUAUCGUGUAUUGCUUGCUUUGAUUUUGUUCUUUAUGGUUGUGAUUAUUAAUGGGCUUAUUGGGCUAAUCUUUUCUGAUUCAGUUUUGUAACCCAGCCUGAUUGGGAAAUACGAUCGAUACUGUAAAAAUGCAUUCUCUCUGAUCCCAACCGUCUUCUUCAAUAUGUGGUGAUCUAAACUAAACCAAAAGAAUGUCGAUUGAGAUGAAACGUUGUAAAAAACUGUGUCAAGCUUCGACAGUGUCCAUUCGUUUUUGGUUCUUACCCUCGAAGACGUUACGAACGAGAUGUCUUAAUUCAUCGGAUUUAAGAAACCUCUUAACUCCAUCAACGCUAAUCAAGCACGAUGCCUCAUUCAAUGCUACUUAUCCCUCUUCUAGGAGUGUUUCUCCACCUAUAAAAAGGUAAGCUUUUUCGUCUCUUGAACAUCAUUCUCACAGUUCAUGAUAAUCCAAAAAUGUUAUUUGCAGUAUAAUGAAUGGCCAACUUAUCUGUUCUUCAACAAUUGAGGUGCGACUAAAUUCCUCUUUGAUGCAAAGGUUUUCCAGUUCUUAAAUCUCAUGAUUAUCGUGUGCUUUUAAAUAUUGGGGCUAAACAUUCAGAAGUAUAAAACUUUUAUAUUCAGAUCUUUGUUGGACCUCUUUUGAAUGAGUUUUUCGGUUUGUUGAUUAUGCUUUUUUUUUAACAUUUGUUUCAGUCGACCCUCAUGCCAGCCACUGUGAAUGUUCAGCCUCUCUCCACUUUCCGACACCGUCCGUGCAAUCAGAACUACAGGCUGACUGAUUCUUCUCGGACGAUUCUGUUCAAUGUUAUUCUCCAAUCCCUGCAGAGCGGUUCAGGUUCCGGGAUCUGAUUCGCUGCUUGGCCUAGCCAACACACACACACACACACAACUUCCAGGUACAUCUCUUAUUAGCUAUUUAUCUCAGACUUAACACAUAUACUUUUCUCAAUGUUUUGUCAGAAAGUUACUUGGCCAGUCUUUCUCUUUGUCCCCGAGAGAUCAGAGCUGCCAUUUCUACAUGCAAUUACACAGGCUGUGAUUUUGCAGCCGCUUGGUGAUAAAUGAAUCAUAGUUAUUGUUGGGAAGACGACUAGAUAUAUGCUUCACGUCUUCAGACUAGGCUUAAAUUUCUUCAAUUUAGAGAAGUUAAAUGCGACACUAUGGAGGUGUUUUAUUGGUUCAGCUUAUAUUUCCCAAGAAACAGAUCGCAGUACCCAGACCGGUUCCAAGCGGUUCAAUGCGUGAUCAUGUGGUUACACAAAGUGGAAAUGUAAAAAUAGCUUCUAGAAUCAUGAACUAAACACUUAUACAUCAGCAUAGAGUUUAAGUUUUUCAAAGAUGUAGAUUUGAUCUAUGCUCGGAUAAUCUUCGACCCACAAUUUUUAAAAAAUUUGUGCUGUGUGAUUAUUAUGAUUUAAACUUAUGGAAUAAGAGAGGGGAGUCUCAUCAUACCUUACUAUUGGCACACAUGUGUUUAUCUCGAUAGGUUUGCAAGUAUUUCGUAGGGAUUUCAAAAUAUGUUCGCAUGUUACUCUCUUUUGGCAAUAUCUAUAUGGGUCACUUGACCAAACAUCUUCUAUUUUUCUUUGAAGGAACUUGAGAAAAGUUCAACAAUGUGUUUUUGCAGAAAAAGAGAGGGGAGAGAGGUACAGAGAGUUCACCUCAUGACGUCUGUUAGAAACUCUGCCACGUCCACAAAAGGACUCCAAGAUAAAAAAAAAUUGUUAAGAGUUAGUAACUUUUUUUGAACUGAUUUAUGCAUUUUUUUUAUCGACUAAUAAUUGCAUUAAUAAUAAAAAGAAAGGGGCUCAGCCCAAACCAUGAGUUAGUAACUUUAUUGGUAGAUUUUUACCACCCUUUCAGUACAUCAAUUUUUUCAUUA